rnacentral:rRNA from 1 species
UAGGGAAUCUUCCACAAAUGGACGAAAGUCUGAUGGAGCAACGCCGCGUGAGUGAAGAAGGGUUUCGGCUCGUAAAACUCUGUUGUUAAAGAAGAACAUAUCUGAGAGUAACUGUUCAGGUAUUGACGGUAUUUAACCAGAAAGCCACGGCUAACUACGUGUCAG